GGAAUAUUGGACAAUGGGCGAGAGCCUGAUCCAGCCAUGCCGCGUGCAGGAAGACGGCCCUAUGGGUUGUACACUGCUUUUGUACGGGAAGAAACACCCCCUCGUGAGGGGGCUUGCCGGUACCGUAAGACUAAGGAUCGGCUCACUCCGUUCCAGCAGCCGCGGUAAUACGGAGGAACCAAGCGUUAUCCGGAAUCAUUGGGUUUAAAGGGUCCGUAGGUGGGCCGUUAAGUCAGAGGUGAAAUCCUGCAGCUCAACUGUAGAAUUGCCUUUGAUACUGGCGGUCUUGAAUCAUUGUGAAGUGGUUGGAAUAUGUAGUGUAGCGGUGAAAUGCAUAGAUACUACAUAGAACACCGAUUGCGAAGGCAGAUCACUAACAAUGCAUUGACACUGAUGGACGAAAGCGUGGGGAGCGA
rnacentral:rRNA from 1 species